CCUAACGGCUGAACCCAGCAACUUGGAGGAAUGUAUAGCAAUAGCUGAUUGCACCAACAWAUAGUUGAUGCAAUAUUGACUCUGUCAAAUAAAAUUCUAGGUAGAAUUAUGAUAAUGACAUUGUCUGCCUAUAUGUCUUGACCAAAUUACGUGCCAGCAGUCGCGGUAAUACGUAGAAGACUAGUGUUAUUCAUCUUUAAUAGGUUUAAAGGGUACCUAGACGGUAAAUCAAGCCUUCACAGGGACUAAUUUACUAGAGUUACUUACGAGGGGGUAUUAAAGUACUGCAGGUGUAGAGAUGAAAUUCUGUCAUACCUCUUUUCAAAAGAAAAAUUAUGGCACAGGUAUAGGUGAAAGCAUCCCCUUAUGUGAUAACUGACGUUGAAGGACGAAGGCUUUGUGUCGCGAACAGGAUUAGAUACCCCAGUAGUCAAAGCAGAAAAUGAUGAAUGUCAUAGAUUAGAUAAAUAGUUUAUUCUAUAAAUGAAAAUGUAAGCAUUCCACCUCAAGAGUAAUUUGGCAACAUUGGAACUGAAAUCAUUAGACCGUUUCUGAAACCAGUAGUGAAGUAUGUUGUUUAAUUUGAUGAUCCGCAAAAAACCUUACCACAAUUUGAAUAUUUAUAUCCAUCUUUUUUUUUCGUAAAAAAAUAAAAAGGUAAUAUAUUUACAAGCGUUGCACGGCUGUCUUCAGUUAAUGUCGCGAGACUUUGGUUAGUUCCAUUAAAUUAACGUAAACCCUUACUUUAUUUUUAUAUGAAGUAGUUCCCCGCUAUAUUGGAUAUGAUAACAGGGACUAAGACAAGUCAUCAUGGCCUGAAUA
rnacentral:rRNA from 1 species